rnacentral:rRNA from 1 species
UACGAAGGGGGCUAGCGUUGUUCGGAAUUACUGGGCGUAAAGCGCACGUAGGCGGUCCGUUAAAUUAGAAGUGAAAUCCCUGGGCUCAACCCGGGAACUGCGUCCGAGACUGGCAGGCUCGAAUCCGGGAGAGGGAUGUGGAAUUCCAGGUGUAGCGGUGAAAUGCGUAGAUAUCUGGAGGAACAUCGGUGGCGAAGGCGGCAUCCUGGACCGGUAUUGACGCUGAGGCGCGAAAGCCAGGGGAGCAAACGGG